rnacentral:rRNA from 1 species
GUCUGUGGCCAUGUCACCCUGAACAAGCCCGAUGUCUGAUCUCGGAAGCUAAGCAGGAUCAGGCCUAGUUAGUACUUGGAUGGGAGACCACCUAGGAAGACCAGGUGCUGUAGGCA